AGCGGUUUAGCCGCUGCCUUGUGUCGCGGCCGCGUGCCGGGCGAUGGCCGCCCAGACCCCCGGGCCCCCGAUCGCCAACCCCGGGGCUUCCCACCCGCGCCUCGGUGGAGGGAGGCCCCGGAGGCGCCAUCGCUCGCGCCUGCCACCUGGACGCUGAAUAAACUGGGAAACAAUUAGGUGGCCGGGUGGGGAAGGUGCUGGGUGACUGCACUGCCAGGCGGCCGCGUGCCCCCGCGCUCGCAGGGGUUGGCGAUUGGGGGCGGUUGGGAGUUUGUGUUUAGGGAGGAAGGUGAGAGGUGCGGGAUCUGCCCACGAGGGCAGUCGCUCUCGGAGAAUCGGGGAAUGGCUCUGUCAGGUCGCAGGCCCUCCUCCGCCUUUAUCCCCAUCACGCACAAAAAGAAUGGGCCUUGCAAGGGAUGUUUAUUAUGCACUUUUAAGUGACUAUUCAGAAAAGAGCAGGAGGCACAAUAAAAAAGGCUUCUGCCCCACCAAUUCCCUUCCCUUGAAGAAAAAAAGAAAGAGAAAGCCACCCACAAAGAGAGAAGAGAGGGAGAGAUGCCACACUGAAAAUACCAUUCACAAUAGAUGGGAACACCAAAGGCCAUAGAGAUGAUACCAAAGACAUCAGUGGUGUCAAGGGAGCAGCAGAUUCCGGUGAUGGUCAUGCCAGCAGAGUCAAAAGCUGACAAUGUAUGCAGCCAGGUCGGCCCUGGGGAAGAGGAGCCAAAAGUCAUGGCUUUGGAAUCAUUUUAAUCUGUCUCUGGGUACAAGAAAUGUCACAGAGGUUCACCUGAAAUCAAAUUAUCCCUUUCUCUUUGCUUGUUUUGUACCACCUAAUCCUCUAACUCUUUAUUAAACUUUAUCUUUCCCAUCUGCUCCAGCGAGUGCUCAACACCUUGUGGACCAACUGCGGGCUGAUUGGUUUUUAUGAGCAACAGGAUCUCAGUUUUAUGCACAUGCUUAGGAUUAUCUCAAGGACAGAGAGGAUGAACAAUCCAUUAAACAGAAUAAGCAACUACACAUCUCAAGUGAAUUGGAAAUAUCCCAUGCUGUAGAAAGAGAGAAUGUACCAGUCACCUGCUCCGCUUUAUGCAACGAAAGGCGUGAAAAACAGGUCCAGGAGUUAAUCAUGUUACCAGAGUGAGGGCUUUCAAGCUCUUGCAUAUGCUUCUUUAUUUGUCAUUCUGCUUACGGAAAGAAUGCUGAAGUGAAGAGCUGAGUGUCAUCUUCACCUUGCCGUUCAGGCUCUUAACAGGUCACAGUCAAGGUAAAGCCAAGGUGAAGACCCAGUCAGGCAUGCUUAAACAGGCGCAGGUUGCCCGGAAGAAGGCACAAGCCAGUGGUGGUGGCCUCUAGGACAGAUGAGGAGGGAUGGGAGUGAGAGGGAGAUGACUUUUUCCCUAGGUUCUCUUUUGUUCUAUUUGAACGUUACACCUGGUGCUCAUAUUAUUUUAAAAAAAUAGUAAUAUCUAAAUAAAGUUUGCCUCCUCCAAGCACUGCGGCAACCCACACUGAUCCCAAAAGUCAGCACUAGCAAAAUGGCGCAGUAGCCUAGGCUGCAUUCAGACACCCAAACCCUCACUUCUCUUCCUCUUGAUUUCUCCUGAGGGUCCCUCUUCUCCCCUGUCCUCUGGACCUCAGCCAGGGUCCUGAGAUUUUCACCCUGUCAAAGCAG